rnacentral:rRNA from 1 species
CGUAGGGUGCGAGCGUUAAUCGGAAUUACUGGGCGUAAAGCGUGCGCAGGCGGUUUUGUAAGACAGAUGUGAAAUCCCCCGGGCUCAACCUGGGACCUGCAUUUGUGACUGCAAGGCUAGAGUACGGUAGAGGGGGAUGGAAUUCCGCGUGUAGCAGUGAAAUGCGUAGAUAUGCGGAGGAACACCGAUGGCGAAGGCAAUCCCCUGGACCUGUACUGACGCUCAUGCACGAAAGCGUGGGGAGCAAACAGGAUUAGAUACCCUGGUAGUCCACGCCCUAAACGAUGUCAACUGGUUGUUGGGUCUUUACUGACUCAGUAACGAAGCUAACGCGUGAAGUUGACCGCCGUGGGGAGUACGGCCGCAAGGUUG